AUAGGCUUCGGCUUAGCGUCUUAGCAGGCGAUUCCUCCACGGCGCUCGAAGCGCGUCGUGGNAUUUCGCGUNUUGUAAUUUCAACACGAGCGGGGUCAAAUCCUUUGCAGACGACUUANCUGUGCGAAACGGACCUGUAAGCAGNAGAGNAGCCUUGUUGUUACGAUCUGCUGAGGGUAAGCCGUCCUUCGCCUCGAUUUCCCCAACGA
rnacentral:rRNA from 1 species